GCUUCCAACGGUCGCAAGGGUCGAGUCCUUCCGCACCCUCCCCUCACGACGGGCGGGCGGGGUCCCUCCGUUCGUCUGAGGAGAAAAAACAAAUAAAUAAGUAAAUAAACAAAAUGAAUCAAUAAAUCAAUAACCAGUUUUCCAGGUGUGCUUCUGGGACAAAACGAGGUGAAAACCAGUCCUUUUACCAACACUCUUUGGAAGAACAAACUCAGACGUUGAGGUUACCGGGAAAUGCAGGGGCUUGCCAUAAAUACAGAGCAUGACAAAGCCAGCUGGAAGGGGUACUGCAGGGCGUACUGCAGAGGUCUGGGUGAGUGUGCAGAGUCAAUGUCCUCAACUGAACUAUUCUAAAUUCUAAAACUGCAGUCAUAAAAAAAAAGUGACCCCACCCAGCCUGUCCCCACCAGACCUGAGCCCCUUGUGUGAUUGUCCCCAGCUGAUGGAUCUCUGCCUUGUUCCUUGUAAGCACCAGGUGUGGUCAGCUCUGGCACGGCACCCAGACUGGAACCCAGAGCAGGAACAUCUAAACAAUUCUGCAGGACGCAGCUCAAAGUCUGGGGGGCUGGCACCGAGUGCUACUGAACCUCGAUGGACUUGGGAAAAUUUGGAAAUGUGACAGAGGCAGCAGUUAACAGAUUUCUAUUGGUAUCCCAGGGGCCUAUGAGCACAAAGAAAUAACACCAGAGGCUCCGGGCUGAUGUUGCCUCUAACGCAGCAUGUAUCAGCCUGCUCAGCCUCUGCCGAGGUGUCAAGCUCCCCCUGUUGGUAAAUAACCAAUCAUUCCAUCUGAAGCCAUCUUUACAAGGCGUAACCCUACAGAGACAUUCUUGCGUAAACAGAAGUGGGUUACACGUUAACAGUAACUUUGUACACACAAGACUAACAGGACAAAAUGAUAAAAAAUGAAGUGACAGCUCUCUCCCGUUUGACCAGCUUCCUGUAGAGGUUAACAGAGAAAUACACACUCAAGAGUGGUCUCAAAAACAUAUACAUUCAUGGUCUCAUUUUCCUAGCUCCUGUUUGUUUGAUCAGAACAACAUUGCUCAUUGGUAAGCAGUGAUGGAAAUUCUGUUUUCAUACCACCCCGCCCAGUGCCCUGGUUGCCUUAGCCUGGUGUGGCAGUGUCCACCUGUUGGGUCUUCAGCUGGGCAGCUCAGCCUCCAUGACUUUCCAGGCUAAUGGGAUCUGCCAUCUACCAUAAUCUACCCAUUAUAUGUCCAGGCAAAGUCUGCUUCUCCCAGAUCACCCAAAGUUCAAAAGAGAUGUCGUGGCUACGAUUACUUUGCUUUGAAGAGUAGCACUCUGAUAAAACAAUGCCCUGUGAUACGAUUCCAUGAGUCUUAACUGGAGUCAGCUAGUGCUGAACCACCUUUUAACCCCAAGUUGCGUAGUUCAGGUCCCGCAGGGCAGGGCCGACUAGUUCUCGAAGAAUUCAUUAAAAUUCUUCUGCCCCACGGUUUGAUUUAAUAUUCAGUCACACUCGUUUCAGUUAAGAUUUCUCAGAAGUAUGUUUAAGCUUUAAGAUUAAUCAUAUUUGUGCCUUACAAUAGGAUGAAAGUGCUCAAAAGAGAACUGACCACGUCAGUGCUUUCCACACAAUAGAAGGGCCCGUUGCAAUCUCUGCAUAACAAGUUAACGUGCAUAAAGAAAAGAAGGAGGAACUACAUCAGAUGUAACAUUUGGGUAGGCAGAAGUAGCAAGAUGAUCUGCAAUAACACCAUCUGGCGAACGCCUGUUUCCUUCUUCAGCAGCCGAGAGCUAUGUGUAACUAUAAACACAGAAUAAGAUAGAAAUAAUGCAAAACCUCUUUCCAGUCAACUGUUACACAGAACGAACUAACAGUUGCUCAGGGAAUGCAGAAAAGAAUACUCUUGAAAAUAGUAGGAUAUUUGAGCAAACUGUUUCUAUGAACACAUGAACAAAUCCUGCAAACAGAAUGCAGAGCAGGUAAGCUUAGUGCCAGACUGGAGAGCAACAAUUCUGGCAAUGCUGAGCGGCAAUGAUUUAACCAUUACACAAGAAAAGUUCAUCCCUUGGCAGCAUGAAAUCGAGCCAGCAGGACAUCUCCACAUGUUAUGCUUAAGCAAUCCCACUGGUGCCAGUGAGAACUCUCACAUUUCUGUGCUGACGCGCUUUGCUGGGUUGCACCUAGAACUGCGCUACUCAACUUUUGUUGAGGUCAGCAAAAUUACAGAAGUCCGUCCAAGAAAUUGCAGCUUCAAACUAGAUGCUUGAUAGUGUUCGUGGAGGAAGAAAUGAGUAAGCAUUCAGGUGAUUUAACAUUAGUCCUACAGUUUGAUGUUUAGCAUUGUAUCUAUAAAACUGAAAAGAACAGACCUCCAUUUUUUACUGAAUCUUUCUGUUACUUUGAAGUUAAUAAAAGAUUUCCAAAAUGCUUGAAAAGACAAAGCAGCACUGGCAAUGAAAAAGCAAAGCCACAAAAAUCUUAAAUCCAGCCUUUGUGGGAUAAGUGUAAUCUUUUAACAACUACAGACAUCUACAGGCAAGGAAGAGAAGUAGCGUUUGCCUGGUCUCCAGUCACAUAGGUCUGGAAGAGUCCACGAAAAGUAUUUUGAAGAUGCUACUCUGUUCACUGAACAAGUCAGAGAGAAAUGAAUUUUGCAUGAGUUUACAUCCAAUAGGAGCCAAAGGUAAACUAACACUACAAGUCAGUAUCCAAGAGGGAAAAAAUAAAU